rnacentral:lncRNA from 1 species
AACUUAAAACCUGCUGUGUGUUUUGCAGCAAGUGUAUUAUUACCUAAAUAAAUGAACAACAAACUACAAUGACUUGGGUAAAUGUUAGGCAGGUUUUAAGGACAUAAUUUUUCUUUCUCAGUCCAAUCUCAGAUGUGGCCAAGAAGUUUCUAAGCAGAGAAAAACGUUCAAGAGAGCGAAACCCAGAACUGCCAAACAAAUGUAAUGUAAUAAAUGAAUAGAGAAGUUUCCACAUAUAGGCUGUUAUGAUGCUCUGCUUAGUCUUUACUUGACUGUGUUCCAUAUGCAUCAUAUAGAAAGUUCUCUUCUUGUUACUCAUUUUUCUCUUUGUGCUUUACUAAAUAUAAUUUCUAUUGUAUUCUCUUUCAGUUCAUAGGUCUUUUUUUCUACUGAGUUCAUUAUUUAUUUCCUGUGAGUAUCUGUCCACUCCUGUGUUAACAGGUGAAAGGCAUGAGAGGUCACCUCAAUGUCAUAGUAAAAUGUCUGUUUCAAUAACAGGUCACAGCGAUUAGCUUUGAAGAUGUGACUUUGGUAUACAUGCUGCAGGGUUCUGCUUUAAGGAGGACUAUGCCUCUCAAUAUUUCACACUGCCUUUCAGGUCCAGCCCACGACCACUGAGGUAUCAACUUCACUGGACUUGGCAGAUCUUUGUUACAUCUUCCUGGAAGUUCUAGCCUUUGCAUAUUUUGAGUUUAGCUUAUUAGAUUUUAACCACAUGUGGCUUCAUAACCUGGCAAAUGUCUGGAAGGAAAAACAUGUCUUAUAUAUGUUGAAGGUUUCUCUUUCUAGUCCUUGUCUCCUGUGCAUUUUAUAACAGUGGGGUAGCACUGAGGCCAUUGGUCAAUUAUGCAGAUUUCCCAGAAGCAGUAGAUCUGAGUACUUGUUUUCCUGGUGAGCACAGUCUACCACUUGGGCCACACAGAUCCACUUUCUAAGCAGUGUUAGAGAAUAGCUCC